UGAGGAAUUUUGCGCAAUGCGAGCCAUCCUGACGCAGCAACGCCGCGUGGGUGAUGAAGGCCUUCGGGUCGUAAAGCCCUGUCAGGUGGGAAGAAUGUCCCGGGACUGAACAGGUUCCGGGAGUGACGGUACCACCAGAGGAAGCACCGGCUAACUCCGUGCCAGCAGCCGCGGUAAUACGGAGGGUGCAAGCGUUAUGCGGAAUUACUGGGCGUAAAGCGCGUGUAGGCGGUCCCGCAAGUCUGGUGUGAAAGCCCCGGGCGUAACCCGGGAAGUGCAUUGGAAACGGUGGGACGUGAGUACUGGAGAGGAUGGUGGAAUUCCCGGUGUAGAGGUGAAAUUCGUAGAGAUCGGGAGGAAUAUCAGUGGCGAAGGCGCCCAUCUGGACGGUAACUGACGCUGAGACGCGAAAGCGUGGGGAGCAAACA
rnacentral:rRNA from 1 species